CCAUGGUCAGUGACACAGCUUGUUGAUCGUAUGGUAAAUUUUUCCAAUUAUUUUGGUAAAUAUUAUGGAUAAUUAGUGUACUGUAUAACAAAGUUUUUCCGAUGAAAUUCAAAGAUAUGUUAUUUUUUUUAUGUGUGUCGUUUCUACUAAUAAUAGUACAUGAAAGGAGAAAAUAAAAUGCGACAAGUGUUUCAAGCGAAAGAGACUACAUCUUGUGUCAAAAUAGUGCAGAUUCCAAGGCAUAAUUAGUUACGAGAUUCAAAGUGGAAGUGAAGUUUUGACGACUUUUCGAACAAAUUCUCUUCGACGAUUACUUCGUUCAAUGAUGUAUUUCUAGUUUCUUUCUACCUGCUCGAGCAACAUAAUCCUUGACAAAUCCAUUCAAUGGGCAAGUCCCGGAUGCUUAUACAAUAUUGGACAACUGUCGUACAAAAUAGCAAGCGUUGCAUCUGCGAUCGUCCAGCACAUCUGACGGCAAUGCGCAUCGGCGAGGAUGGUAAUACAUGCAGGUGUUGAUCCCAUUUCCGGCUGUGAAGCGGUUAACGCUGCCAUGAGUCACGUGCGUUUGAUUUACUCUUCUGCUUGCACAUUUCCCUCUCCUUCUCUCUCCUUUCUCUCUCUUUCUCUCUCUCUUUCGAUCUUUAAAUUCCUCUGUAUUUCUGUCUCUGUAUUUCUCUUUUUCUCUUUCUCUUAAUUAUUCCUUUUUAUU